rnacentral:lncRNA from 1 species
GCAGUCCGGCUGAUUUGAUCUCCACUGGGGUGGAUUCAGUGAGCCCCAAGAAGCGGGUCUGAGUUUUCAAUCCAGGUCUGAGUAAAAUUAAGAAGAAAGAGCUGCUACAAUCACAGCAGAUGAAGAUCCACUAGUGAAUUGAUCCAGAUUUUUGGCCAGCCCUCCAGAGAAAAGGUAAGUUGGCCACCUCUGUAACAUCAGAUGUUCCAGAUUAAGAAAAAAAAAACAUGAAUAAUAAUUUUUAAAAAUGAAUAAGCCUGCUUUUUCCCCAUCUAAAGAAAGCCCCUCUAAGUAAGCAGCUAUGACACGCGUGCCUCAGGAGUGCGG